UAAGCAUAUCAAUAAGCGGAGGAAAAGAAACUAACAAGGAUUCCCCUAGUAACUGCGAGUGAAGCGGGAAAAGCUCAAAUUUAAAAUCUGGCAGUCUCUGGCUGUCCGAGUUGUAAUCUAGAGAAGCGUUAUCCGCGCUGGACCGUGUACAAGUCUCCUGGAAUGGAGCGUCAUAGAGGGUGAGAAUCCCGUCUUUGACACGGACUGCCAGGGCUUUGUGAUGCGCUCUCAAAGAGUCGAGUUGUUUGGGAAUGCAGCUCAAAAUGGGUGGUAAAUUCCAUCUAAAGCUAAAUAUUGGCGAGAGACCGAUAGCGAACAAGUACCGUGAGGGAAAGAUGAAAAGAACUUUGGAAAGAGAGUUAAACAGUACGUGAAAUUGCUGAAAGGGAAACGCUUGAAGUCAGUCGCGUUGGCCAGGGAUCAACCUUGCUUUUGCUUGGUGUACUUUCUGGUUGACGGGUCAGCAUCAAUUUUGAUCAUUGGAAAAAGAUUAAGGGAAUGUGGCAUCUUCGGAUGUGUUAUAGCCCUUGGUUGCAUACAAUGGUUGGGAUUGAGGAACUCAGCACGCCGCAAGGCCGGGUUUUUAACCACGUACGUGCUUAGGAUGCUGGCAUAAUGGCUUUAAUCGACCCGUCUUGAAACACGGACCAAGGAGUCUAACAUGCCUGCGAGUGUUUGGGUGGAAAACCCGAGCGCGCAAUGAAAGUGAAAGUUGAGAUCCCUGUCGUGGGGAGCAUCGACRCCCGGACCAGACCUUUUGUGACGGUUCCGCGGUAGAGCAUGUAUGUUGGGACCCGAAAGAUGGUGAACUAUGCCUGAAUAGGGUGAAGCCAGAGGAAACUCUGGUGGAGGCUCGUAGCGAUUCUGACGUGCAAAUCGAUCGUCAAAUUUGGGUAUAGGGGCGAAAGACUAAUCGAACCAUCUAGUAAGCUGGUUCCUGCCGA
rnacentral:rRNA from 2 species